rnacentral:rRNA from 1 species
GGAUUCCCCUAGUAAUGGCGAAUGAAGAGGGAAAAGCCCAAAUUUGUAAUCUGGCUCUUUCAGAGUCCGAGUUGUAAUUUUAAGAACUGUUUUCAGUGCUGGACCAUGUAAAAGUCUGUUGAAAAGCAGCAUCAUAGAAGGUGAUAAUCCUGUUCAUGAUAUGGACUACCAGUGCAAUAUGAUACAGUCUCUAAGAGUCGAGUUGUUUGGGAAUGCAGCUCAAAGUGGGUGGUAAAUUCCAUCUAAGGCUAAAUAUUGAUGAGAGACCGAUAGCAAACAAGUACCGUGAGGGAAAGAUGAAAAGAACUUUGGAAAGAGAGUUAACAGUACGUGAAAUUGUUAAAAGGGAAACAAUUGAAGUUAGACUUGUUAUUGUCAGUUCAACCUUUUUUUUUCCUGAGGGAGUAUUCUGAUGAUUAACAGACCAACAUCAAUUUUUGAGUGUUGGAUAAGGGUUUAAGGAAAUGUGGCAGUCUCUGACUGUGUUAUAGUCCUGAGCUUUGAUACAAUGCUUAAGAUUGAGGAAUGCA